CGGAACGCGAACGCUCUCCGGGCCUGAGCGGCGCCUCCCGCGUCCGGCUCGCCGCAGCGCAGGGCCAGGGCGCCUCGCCCACCCUCCUCCCGGCCCCGGGGGCCGCGGAUACGCCGGGGGCUGGGAAUUUGAGUGGCAGAUCCGCCCACUGAUUUUGCAGAAUUGGGGCAGGAAAAGGAGAAGCCAUGGGGUGUUGGUGUAGCAGUUAAGAGCUGCUGAGAUAUUGCAGGGGAUUGAAUCCAGACCCAUUACCUAAUGAGGAGGAGCUUGCCACCUAGCCUCUCUUUGCAUCCCAGGACAGCGGAACACCCAGAGCCAGUGGGUAGAAGAUGACUGACAUUGGGUGGGAGAAGAGGCUGGUUUCUGAUUGAAAAAAAGCACUUCACGGAGACAUGCCUCCAAGAAAACAAGGGUUUUUGAGAGAAACGUCUGCAGAGGAGGAGACCGCCUCUUCUUCGUUGGCUUUGAGGAAGUAAGCAGCUACGUUCCAGAGGCCCAUGGGGUAAGGAACUGAAGGUGGCCCGCAGACAAUAGCCAGCAAGAAACUGAGGCCCUCCGUCUAACAACCCACGGGGAACUGAAUGCCGCCAACCAUGUGGGUUUGGAAGGAGAGCCUUGCCCAGGUAGCUGUCUCUGAAUCCCAUUCAGCAUAGCCUGGAAUUUGGGAGUCUUCAAUCCCAUUUGUCUUUGUAAUCAGAUCCUCUUGUGAGCCAAGGAGAGACCCAGCAGCAGAAAGGUGGACCCGGCCGGCCAAAUCCAAGUGUUCAGCAGCCCACAUACUUACACUGAGCAAACCGGGAGGCCCUCUUGGGGGCUGGGUGGCUCUGGUCAGGCAGCGGACAUGAAGAGGAAUAGGGAGCUUCUGGGACUUCCACCAAGAAUUUCAGAAAAUCGGGAAGGGGAAAAAGGGUCAUCAAAAAUAAAUAAAUAAACAAAUAAAAGGCAAAUACAAGGUAUCCAAACAUCGUGAUCAGGACACACAGCUUGUCUGCUUCAUCACAUUUCCUCACACAUUUUUUUAGUGUCAGACUUGGAUCAGGCAGAACAUCCACCUCAGGUAUGUGCAGCCCCAUGUUCUCACCGUGGACUUUUUUUUACUGCGCGUUUCUUCCCCCACCCCCCGUAAGCUCUAAGCUCCUUGCUGAUAGAGACCUUGUUCAUCUUUAUGUUCUAAGCACCAAGCGUAGUGCCAGCUACAUAGGAAGUAAGUGCUAUGUGCAUAUCUAUCAAAUAAAUUAUAGGUCUAGGGGAUCACAGCACCCCAACACCCAAAAUAUCCAUGACACCCCCCCCAUCAGUGCCUUAAACUGUUACUUGCAUAAGUAAAUUCUGAAUGGGCACUUAAACUAAUACAAGCAGUUAACAGAGGCAGGGCAAUAGGAAAAUUGAAUGAGGGUGGGAAAGAGACCUUCACUGUAAGCUUUUAUAUUGUUUUGAUUUCUGAAUUUAAAUUUUUUUUUUUUAA